rnacentral:rRNA from 1 species
UACGUAGGGUGCGAGCGUUAAUCGGAAUUACUGGGCGUAAGGCGUGCGCAGGCGGUUUUGCAAGCCGGAUGUGAAAUCCCCGGGCUCAACCUGGGAAUGGCAUUCGGGACUGCAAGGCUGGAGUGCGGCAGAGGAGACUGGAAUUCCUGGUGUAGCAGUGAAAUGCGUAGAUAUCAGGAGGAAUACCGAUGGCGAAGGCAGGUCUCUGGGCUGACACUGACGCUCAUGCACGAAAGCGUGGGGAGCAAACAGG